GAUGAACGCUGGCGGCGUGCUUAACAAAUGCAAGUCGAACGAACCUUCGGGUUAGUGGCGGACGGGUGAGUAACGCGUGAGAAUCUGCCCUCAGGAGGGGGAUAACGGUUGGAAACGACCGCUAAUACCCCAUAUGCCGAUAGGUGAAAUGGAUUUCGCCUGAGGAUGAGCUCGCGUCUGAUUAGCUUGUUGGUGAGGUAAUGGCUCACCAAGGCUUCGAUCAGUAGCUGGUCUGAGAGGAUGAUCAGCCACACUGGGACUGAGACACGGCCCAGACUCCUACGGGAGGCAGCAGUGGGGAAUUUUCCGCAAUGGGCGAAAGCUGACGGAGCAACGCCGCGUGAGGGACGAAGGCCUCUGGGCUGUAAACCUCUUUUCUCAAGGAAGAAGAUAUGACGGUACUUGAGGAAUAAGCCACGGCUAAUUCCGUGCCAGCAGCCGCGGUAAUACGGAGUGGCAAGCGUUAUCCGGAAUUAUUGGGCGUAAAGCGUCCGCAGGCGGCCUUUCAAGUCUGCUGUUAAAGCGUGGAGCUUAACUCCAUUAUGGCAGUGGAAACUGAUCGGCUUGAGUAUGGUAGGGGCAGAGGGAAUUCCCGGUGUAGCGGUGAAAUGCGUAGAUAUCGGGAAGAACACCAGUGGCGAAGGCGCUCUGCUGGGCCAUUACUGACGCUCAUGGACGAAAGCCAGGGGAGCGAAAGGGAUUAGAUACCCCUGUAGUCCUGGCCGUAAACGAUGAACACUAGGUGUCGGGGGAAUCGACCCCUUCGGUGUCGUAGCUAACGCGUUAAGUGUUCCGCCUGGGGAGUACGCACGCAAGUGUGAAACUCAAAGGAAUUGACGGGGGCCCGCACAAGCGGUGGAGUAUGUGGUUUAAUUCGAUGCAACGCGAAGAACCUUACCAGGGUUUGACAUCCUGAGAACCUCUUAGAAAUUUGAGGGUGCCUUCGGGAAUUCAGUGACAGGUGGUGCAUGGCUGUCGUCAGCUCGUGUCGUGAGAUGUUGGGUUAAGUCCCGCAACGAGCGCAACCCACGUUUUUAGUUGCCAGCAUUUAGUUGGGCACUCUAGAAAGACCGCCGGUGAUAAACCGGAGGAAGGUGUGGAUGACGUCAAGUCAUCAUGCCCCUUACACCCUGGGCUACACACGUACUACAAUGCUACGGACAAAGGGCAGCAAACUCGCGAGAGCUAGCAAAUCCCAUAAACCGUGGCUCAGUUCAGAUCGUAGGCUGCAACUCGCCUACGUGAAGUAGGAAUCGCUAGUAAUCGCAGGUCAGCAUACUGCGGUGAAUACGUUCCCGGGCCUUGUACACACCGCCCGUCACACCAUGGAAGUUGGCCAUGCCCGAAGUCGUUACUCCAACCCUUGUGGAGGAGGACGCCGAAGGUGGGGCUAAUGACUGGGGUGAAGUCGUAACAAGGUAGCCGUACCGGAAGGUGCGGCUGGAUCACCUCCU
rnacentral:rRNA from 1 species